AAUCUUGCGCAAUGGGCGAAAGCCUGACGCAGCCAUGCCGCGUGAAUGAUGAAGGUCUUAGGAUUGUAAAAUUCUUUCACCGGGGACGAUAAUGACGGUACCCGGAGAAGAAGCCCCGGCUAACUUCGUGCCAGCAGCCGCGGUAAUACGAAGGGGGCUAGCGUUGCUCGGAAUUACUGGGCGUAAAGGGCGCGUAGGCGGACAUUUAAGUCAGGGGUGAAAUCCCAGAGCUCAACGCUGGAACUGCCUUUGAUACUGGGUGUCUUGAGUGUGAGAGAGGUAUGUGGAACUCCGAGUGUAGAGGUGAAAUUCGUAGAUAUUCGGAAGAACACCAGUGGCGAAGGCGACCACCUGAGCUAAUACUGACACUGAGGUGCGAAAGCGUGGGGAGCAAACAGG
rnacentral:rRNA from 1 species